rnacentral:sRNA from 1 species
AUGUGAAAUACGCCUUCGGCGUGUGAAAUAUCUGCUUCGCAGAUAUGAAAUAUAGGACUUCGUCCAAUGUGAUAUAUACU